rnacentral:rRNA from 1 species
ACAAUGGAGGAAACUCUGAUGCAGCGACGCCGCGUGAGUGAUGAAGGCCUUCGGGUCGUAAAGCUCUGUCGCAGGGGAAUAACACAAUGAAUGUACCCUGUAAGAAAGGAUCGGCUAACUUCGUGCCAGCAGCCGCGGUAAGACGAGGGAUCCUAGCGUUGUUCGGAAUCAUUGGGCGUAAGCGGGUGCAGGUGGCUAUGUAAGUCAGGUGUGAAAGC